rnacentral:lncRNA from 1 species
GGACCUAUAUAGCUGCAGGUAGAACCAACCCAUCCAUUGCUCAGCGUAUCGAAGAUGAUGGGAUUCACGUUGGACCUGAGACUACGAAAUUGCUGGAGCGUGUCUCCGGCAAUUGAAACUGAGAAGGAAAGAAACUUCAUAAAAACUCGAGGCUGCCGUAGAAUUUUUCUUCAUUAUAGAUCAGAAUUAUGACUUGUCGAAGAUGUCGUUAUCUCGUGAAAAGCUUGCUUUUACCAGAUUUCUGUACAUGAAUCGCAAGGUCUUUUUGGCAUUUUGCAUUUGAUGCUCUGCUAGCCCCCCGACUACUGUGUAGCAUCUAUCUAAGCUGCUAAUAUGAUGGAGUUAUUUCCAAAAUCCAAUUAUUUUCAUGUUACUCAUGUAGUCGACGAGUUGAUUGAGUACCCAGGUAUUCUCUAAUGUUUAAUGUUGCCGACCAUUCGUGAAGAGGCGCAAGGAAGCAGUGAGUGAUUUCUGAUAUAUUAUUUGCUUGCACCAGGUAGUGUUUUUUUAGGGGAACUGGCUCACAUUAUUAAUCAACCAUUUGGGGUACAAUGCAAUGUCAGGCGAAUGUAAGAGCCAGACUUUGGCAAGCUUUUCUGUAUUUGAAAGCUUAGCAACAAGACUCAAAGGCUUAGAUAAUAUAAUCACGCGGUGGUUGUUUGUCGAUCAGGAAUAAGUAUCAGCACCAAACUUGUAUAAGCUGCAGUCGGAAUUGUAAUUUGUUAUCCCUAGUGACAACGGUUAAUGGAUAAAGAGACAAAGAGAUGUGCUCCCUGUUGUGAGCCUACAACUGUAAAUAAUUUCCAUGCAGCUCUGCAAAUUCAGAAAUAAGGUCUGUAAUUGAUGCUUACACAAACACAAAAAUAGUACCUAGGAGUUGUGUUGAAGGACAGGGCACAUCAUAUCUGGUAUAUGUUCAAAUCAUUCAGUUUGUGUUGUAAUGGAAAGUGUGCUCACUUUGUUUGAUGGAACUAACUGAACGCAUUCUAGUUUAUUCUUGUGUUGUUGCAGCACAGGUCUGAGGGGCAUUCCAUCAGGCAUUUUGUGUACCAUGAACCAUGUUCCCCAAAUCUUGUGUUACAAAAUUGUGAAAUACUCCCUCAGUCCCGUAAUAUAAGAUAAUUUUGCAAGCUAAAACAGCUUAAACGGUCUUAAAUUGUGGGACGAAGAGAGUAACUUUCUAUGACAUGGAUGUUGAUAAUGCAUCGUCGUACCGCCACGCCACUUACUAGAAAAGUAGAAAGUAAUUAUUUGAAGAUCUUUUAUGUCAUUUUCUGCACUUGAUGCUUUCCUAAAAAAGCAUGUCACUGUAUGCAUUACACAGCUGAAUUUUGUAUGCCAGUUGCGCGUCGCGUUAUGCAUCCAAUCAAUUUCUGAUGCGAUUUCCACACCCGGAACUAGAUUGUUUUUUUGUGGGAUCCUGAACUAGAUGGGGUUUCUUUUUUUGCGGGAUCCUGAACUUUUUUUUUGCAGGGAAAUUUGGGAGCUCUUUAUUCAACACUAACAGCUCCAGCUGAAUCAGCUGAGAGGCUGGUUACAAGAAGACUCGGAAUGGAGUCCAUCCAACAUUCGAUUACAUCCAGGGUGCUAGCUUGUUUAGCACAAAUGUGAGCCGAAACAUUAGCUGAUCUUCCUACAUGCUGAAUUACAAAAGACUUAAAAUAAAUGACAUGCUCCCUAAUCUCGGCCAAGAUAGGCGCCACGACCGCACAAGCAUUGUGACGCGUAUUCCAGAGAUUCACAAUCUCCAAAUUAUCAGACUCGAAAACCACCUCAGAAUAGCCUCGAAGAUGAGCAAAGAGAACACCAUCGCGUAGAGCGAGUGCCUCGGCUAUAAGAGGAUCAGUGAUUCCUGAGUAAGGUUUGCACCAUGCAGCUAGAAAGGAUGAAUGUGUUCUUGCGACUCCACCUGCCACUCCCCUCCUAGCUUCCAUUGCAACACUUCCAUCAGUGUUGAUCUUGAUCCAGCCCAAGUCUGGCGGUCUCCAACCAUGCCCCGGCAAAAUUUGCGCGUGUUCGCGAGGAAGUUCAAGUACAGAUAGAGCUUCUUGGGUUUUCUUCAUGGACUGAACAGGAUCAAGUUCCUUCUUGUCAUGUGUGGCAUUGUUUCUUGAGGUCCAAAUCGUCCACAUGACAGUAACCAGUUUUGCUUUCUCAGACUCAGAGAACAUCGGAUCGCAAAUAACAUCCCGAGACCAUGUAAGUGGGUGCAACUCCGGUCGCUUGAUGUCAAGCCAGUACGGCGCCGCGUUCCAAAAACGUCUGGCGUGGGUGCAAUCCAAUAACGCAUGCUUCAUGUCUUCCUCUGCAUGAAGACACAGUUUGCAGGUGCCAAUGGUUGUGAUAUGGCGGUACAUGAGAGUAGAUUCAGCCGGAAGGAUCCCAUGCAACACCCGCCACCAGAACACUCUUACCCUUGGCAAAACCUUAAGCUUCCAUAAACGGGACCAUAACUGUCUGUCUGUCGAUGAAGUCUCGGUGAUCGUCCCUUCCUCUAGAGCCAGAUGCUCGUUACGAGUCAUUAGAGCAUGAUACGCCGAUUUUACAGUAUAGCAUCCUGACCGUUCGUGAGCCCAUGCAAGGACAUCAUCGCCCCCACCCCGCAUGAGAGGGAUGUUAAGAAUUGCAUCCGCAUCGGGGGUGAUAAAAUUUUGACGGACCACAUGCACCUUCCACGACCAAUUGACCGUAUCAAUAAGGUCUGAGACUGUUUGCAAUUGUGUAUUAGUGCUUCUGACAGUCGGAGUCAUAGAAAGGGUACCGGGAAUCCACUUAUCAUCCCAGAUAGAGACCGAACUGCCAUCUCCAAUGCGUUUGAUCAGACCAACUUGCAAAGAAUCCCUCCUUGCAAUGAUGGCACGCCACAUCGCCAAGGAAAACCGCGGGGUUGUAGCUUGCAUGAAAUCACAAGUGGGAAAAUAUCUCCCUUUGAGAACUCUAGCACAAAGCGAUGAUGGAUUCGUCAUCAGUCGCCAGCCAUGUUUGCCGAGAAGAGCUGUGUUGAAAAGCUCAAGAUCCCGGAAGCCCAUUCCGCCCUUCUCCUUUGGACUUGCCAAGGUCUGCCAGGCCUUCCAAUGCAGUGAAUUACGAUCCAGGGAGCUGCUCCACCAAUACUUAGCGAAGGAGGAAGUAAGGCUCUUACACACCUUCUUUGUUAACUUGAAGCAACUCAUGCUGAAAAUAGGUAUAGCUUGGGCUACAGUUCUUAUACGCACUUCCCUUCCAGCACAAGAAAUCAUUCUUUCUGACCCUCCUUGGAGUUUGCUUCGGAUCCUCUCUCCAAUAUGGUCAAAAGUACCGCUUGUGAUCCUAUCCACAACUAUAGGUAGACCAAGAUAACGAUCGCUGAAAGCUUCUACCGAAAUGUUCAGAGUUUGUUUCAGCAGUAGCUUAUCCGGGGCAGAGGUGUUUGGACUAAAAUAAAUUGAGCUUUUCUCUUUGUUGACAGCCUGCCCUGAGCCCCUCUCAUAAAUUCUCAAUAUCUCAUUGAGCCUUUGGUCACUAUCCACCUUUGCCUGCAUAAAAAUUAGACUGUCAUCCGCGAAGAGAAGAUGAUUAAUCCACGGAUAUCGGUAGCUGACUCGAAUGCCUUUGUCCACUCUCACACCACCAAAGUGGUUCAGAAGUGAAGUUAAACCUUCCGCACAUAGCAGGAAUAAGUACGGAGACGCUGGGCACCCCUGUCUUAGCCCCCUCGAGGGGGUGAAAAAAGGAAGAAGUUCGCCAUUCACCCAUAUUGAGAAUCUGACUGAGGUGACAUACUUCAUGACUAGGCGAACAAACUCCAUACAGAAACCAAGUUUCAACAUGAUCGCCUGCAAAUAAUGCCAUUCUACACGGUCGUAUGCUUUCAUCAUGUCCAACUUGAUAGCACAGACAGCAUUCUCCCCUUUUGUCACGCCCAAUAUGCGACCCUAUCCAAAAGGAACUCGAAGGUCCCACCAAGGAUAGACCCGCAUAUUGAAACGCUUUUGCAAGGUGGAUAUCAUUACAUCAACAUUACAUAAUAGAUGGGGAUACAUACAAGAGGCAAACCAUGCCACACGAAUACAACACCACAAUACAUCAGAGCAUCAUCCGACUACGGAUGAAUCACAAACAGAAACUCAAAAUACAUCCACCCUGCUAGCCCAGGCUGCCGACCUGGAACCUAUCCCCUGAUCGAAGAAGAAGCAGAAGAAGAACUCAUUGCAAGCAAGCAUCGCUCUCGCGUCAUGACCAUCGCAAAACCUCACCUGCAACUAUUGUUGUAGUAAUCUGUGAGCCACGAGGACUCAGCAAUCCCAUUACCAUGGGUAUCAAGACUAGCAAAGCUUAAUAGGAAAGGAAGGGGUAAAGUGGUGAGGCUGCAGCAGCGACUAAGCAUGAUAUGGUGGCUAACAUACGCAAAUAAGAGCGAGAAGAGAACAAAAGGAACGGUCGUGAAACUAGCAAUGAUCAAGAAGUGAUCCUGAACUCCUACUUACGUCAAACAUAACCCAGAAACCGUGUUCACUUCCCGGACUCCGCCGAGAAGAGACCAUCACGGCUACACACACGGUUGAUGCGUUUUAAUUCGGAUCUGGUGUCAAGUUAUCUACAACCGGACAUUAACAAAUUCCCAUAUGCCUAUAACCGCAGGCACGACUUUCGAAAGAUUAUACCCUACAAGGGUGUCCCAACUUAGCCCAUGACAAUCUCUCGCGAUCAACGAAGGAAUAGACCUUCUCCCAGGAAGACCCGAUCAGACUCGGAAUCCCGGUUUACAAGACAUUUCGACAAUGGUAAAACAAGACCAGCAAGACCGCCCGAUGCGCUGACAAUCCCGAUAGGAGCUGCACAUAUCUCGUUCUUAGGGCAACACCGGAUGAGCAAUCCGUACAACUAAAACCAAACCUCAAGUUUCCCUGAGGGGGCGCUGCAAAGGGCUCAGGUUCGGACCAACACUUAGACAAGCACUGGCCCGGGGGGCUAAAAUAAAGAUGACCCUCGGGUUGGCCGACCCAAGGGAAAGGGUUAGGUGGUGGUGAGGCAAAUGGUAAAACCAAGGUUGGGCCUUGCUGGAGGAGUUUUAUUCAAAGCGAACUGUCAAGGGGGUCCCAUAAAUCACCCGACCGCGUAAGGAACGCAAAAUCCGGGAACAUAACACCGGUAUGACGGAAACUAGGGCGGCAAGAGUGGAACAAAACACUAGGCAAAAGGCCAAGCCUUCCACCCUUUACCAAAUAUAUAGAUGCAUUAAUAAAAUAAGAGAUAUUGUGAUAUCCCAACCAAAAUCCUGUCCGCCAUGGAGCAAUCUUCAAACUUCACCUGCAACUAGCAACGCUAUAAGAGGGGAUGAGCAAAGCGGCAACAUAGCCAAACAACGGUUUGCAUAGGAAAGGUGUCAAAGGUUAGAGGUUCAUGGCUAUUUGGGAUGGCUUGAUAAACAGGUGAUAGGUAGCGCAACAAAGCGAUAGAACGAAGCAACUAGCAUAGCAAUGAUAGUAGUGAGAUCCAGGGUAGCGGUCAUCUUGCCUGAAAUCCCCCAAGGAAGAAGAACGAGUCCAUGAAGAAGACGAACGGACGAAGCCGAACCAAGCGUAGACGAACGAAUCCUCACGAUCGCAACGAAACAGGAACUAUCGAAAAGAAGCACAUAACAUAGUAAACACACCACACAUGAACAAGGCAUGAUGCACAAACAAGCAUGAUGCAUGACAAAGCUACAUGAAGCUACUCAUGGCAAGAGAUGAUGCAAACAAGAACAACACAUCAAGGCAAGUUUAAAUGAGGCCGGGAACAACAUAUAACAAUUCCGGAAAGUCCUCAUAUGCAUAUUUCGAAAUUGGUCCAGAUCUGAACAAACCUUAUGUUCAAGUAGUUAAACAUCAAGUUAAGAUGCACAAAGAUGAUCUACACGAGAUUCUAGUCAAGUUACAUAUAAAGUUCAUUAGAUUCGGAGCUACGGCCUAGAAGAUAUGGGCAAAACAAGUUAAACAUGGCAUUGAUACAAAAUGCACCCAAACAUCAAGCAAACACCUCAAAACAAGGAUGCAACAUGAUAAUAUGAAACUACAUGCAAUUCUAAGCAAGUUUCAUAUAGAGCACACUCAUAACGGGGCAAUGGUUCAACACAUGCACACUAUACAAGUCAUAGCAAUAAUCUGUCCAAAACAGCAACUAGACAUAUUGCAAGCAUCAAAACAAUAUGCUACAUCACCCCAACAUAAUAACAGAAGGCAUGGACAUGAUGUACAGGUAAAGCAUUACAAAACAUGAACACUGAACUAUCUCCAGAAAUCACUAGAACAUGUCCAAACACACAUGGUAAGAUUGCAAGUUAUUACAAUUCAGACUUUGCAGAAAAUAACAUCACGAUGCAAUGUUCAGAGCUAUCAAACAACAUGUUACAGGAACUUAUAAUGGCAAACAAAAGCAUGGCAUGAUUCUACUCAAAGCAUAGACCAAAAGUCCCUUACUGACCAUAAGCCAAAAAUGAUCAGAAAAUAUGAUGGCACCCACGUAAACAUAGCAAGUUAUUAUACAGAUUCAAACAUGGCAGAAACAUAAUUAUGAAGGCAUGUAAAUGAGCUUGUGCAACUCAUUACAGAACAAUACAUGGCAUGGCAAGGCAACCAGCAGUAAGAAGACAUAUUUGUGAAGCUAAGAAUGGCAAUAGCAAGGUCAUAGGAUGCAUGGAACACUAGCAAAACACAUGGGAACAAGUGAACUUAAUGUAAACAGGCUGACAACAACAUUAUGAAGCAACUUUGGAGCAAGAUUACAACAAGCUACAGCAGCCUAUAAAUGCAACCAGGGCCUUGGAUGGAUAGGGGAUGACAUGUAUAUCAAAACAUGUUUAUAGGCCAUAUCCAGAUUAUGCAUAGAAUGAUUAGUAGCAACAUGUUUAUAUAGCAUCGUGAAAUAACAGAUUCGGCCUAGCAAAACAGCAACAUCAUGAACACUACUUAACAAGCUCGAUUCACUCACCACAAGUCAUUGCAUGACAAGAUAAGCAUAGCAUCAUCAAGAAGGCAUGUCAUAGAAGCUAUACAUGGCAAGAAACAACAUCAUAGCAUAUCCGGACCAACUACAACAACCUCGGCCAAAUUGAAUAACAUGUAAACAAUCUGCCAGGAAACAUUUUGAAGCAAAAGUAGAGCACUCAAAUGAUAUGCUAGACUACUCCAUAAUUGCAACAAAGGGCAUGAAUGGAUAGAGCAUAACCACAUGUUCAAAACACCCUUACCGAAGUAUCUCAAAAUAUGCAUGGAUCUCUCUGUAGCAUCAAGUUUACAUGGCAUCAAAAUAACAGCAGAACAGGGACUAAAAUCAGCAACAUCACGAUGCCUAGUUUGCAUGCUUGUGCUAGUCACCACAUUGAUCACAAAGAUACAUGGCAUACACCACUGUAAAGAAGACAUGGCAUAGAUCAAAACACAUGAAGACAUCAACCUCAUAGGAUGCACACAUCAAUCAUGGCAAAAAUGACAAAAGAGCUCGUUCUGAUAACAGACAGCAGAAAACAUUAUGAAGCACUCUUACAACGAUGAUUCAGGCAUCAAUAUGACCUCAAAUGAAUAUGAUGCAAUGGAAUGGAAUGAUCUACUCGUCGAGACGAACAAUUCGACAUAUUACACGCAUGAAACGGAGCUACGGAUGCAGAGAUACGGCAUGACGAACAUGGCAUGAAAAUUACUCAAACUGGNNNNNNNNNNNNNNNNNNNNNNNNNNNNNNNNNNNNNNNNNNNNNNNNNNNNNNNNNNNNNNNNNNNNNNNNNNNNNNNNNNNNNNNNNNNNNNNNNNNNNNNNNNNNNNNNNNNNNNNNNNNNNNNNNNNNNNNNNNNNNNNNNNNNNNNNNNNNNNNNNNNNNNNNNNNNNNNNNNNNNNNNNNNNNNNNNNNNNNNNNNNNNNNNNNNNNNNNNNNNNNNNNNNNNNNNNNNNNNNNNNNNNNNNNNNNNNNNNNNNNNNNNNNNNNNNNNNNNNNNNNNNNNNNNNNNNNNNNNNNNNNNNNNNNNNNNNNNNNNNNNNNNNNNNNNNNNNNNNNNNNNNNNNNNNNNNNNNNNNNNNNNNNNNNNNNNNNNNNNNNNNNNNNNNNNNNNNNNNNNNNNNNNNNNNNNNNNNNNNNNNNNNNGACGUGGCGUCCCCGGAUUGGUCCGGGCGACGUGGAGGCUGGGGUGGACGUGUCCGGCCGCCGGGCGGACAUGUCCGGCGGCGCGAGGAGGGAGAGGGCUAGGGUUUCGGGGGAUCAACCGUGAAUUUCAGGGAGAGGCAUAUAUUUAUAGGUAGAGAGAGCUAGGAGAGUCCAAAUGAGGAGCGGUUUUCGGCCACGUGAUCGUGAUCGAACGACCGAGAGCAUGGAGGGGAGUUAGAUGGGUUUUGGGCCAGUUUGGAAGGGGUGUUGGGAUGCAAGGAGAGAGGGUCUUUACGGUUACCCGGUUAACCGUUGGAGUACCAAACGACCUCCAAAUGGCACGAAACUUGACAGGCGAUCUACCGGUGCUAUACCGAGGCCACUUAGCAAGCCUCGGGCCAUUCCGAGAAAGUUUAGCACCCACUCACAACGAGAGACGAAAGGGGAACACCGGAGGACAUAGGAGCACCGGAUUGCAAAAUGGACAACGGGGAAAAGGCUCGGAUGCAUGAGACGAACACGUAUGCAAAAUGAAAUGCACAUGAUGACAUGAUAAAAUGCAACACGCAAGAAAAUGACAUGGCAAUGACAUGGCAACGACGGCGAAUAACUGGCAGACACCUGGCGCAUCGGAACCGGGGCGUUACAACACUCCUCCACUAACAAGAGAUCUCGUCCCGAGAUCUUAGGACCGAGACGGAAGGGAAAAAGGGAUGAGGUGAAACAAGAACUGAAGAGAAGAAGCAAGGAAUCAAGAGCAUUCGAGAAGAAGAAGGAACGACGAGAAUGACGAGAAUCGAAAGCUCACGAAAUCAGAUAGGCUAAGAAAGCACUCAUUCUAACCGGAGUGGUUAGAAUGAGAUAAGAAACGAAUAAGACUGAAAGGAUUUAGGCAGCACUCCGACUGAAACAUGGAGGAAUAGAACAUGAACUUCACCCAAAGAGAUGGCACUUGACGAGAUGAACAAAGCAAUGCCUCCGGAAGAAUUGAAAGAAUUGAAUGAAAAGAACUUAGAAGGAAAGGUUGAACGGAUUUGUUGAGAAAAUCAACAACGAAAGGAUAAGCUUGUUGUGGACUUAUGGAGAACAUCUCAAAAUUAUGAGGUGAUAACCGACCACAAACGGAAAUGAUUGGAUAACUUAGAAGAACGAAGAAAUGCAAAACUCCACUUCCAAAAGAAUUACGGAGAAUUAAUUGCACUUCGAGAUGCGAGAAGAAAAGAUACUUGAACUCCACCAACAAGAAUCUUGAUGAACUCUUGAAGAAUGAAUUAAAUCAUGAAGAACCACCAUGAACUCCGGUAACAAAAGAAUGACGAGAUAAAAUUGAAGGAUGAAAGAAUAAGAUGAGCCUUGCGAUGAUUUAGAUGGAGGUUCCGACAAAAAGACCGAGGAAGAUUGAACUCCGGAAAAGAAAAGAUGAAAACACUUGAACUAGAAUUUAUUCCUCACGAACAAACUCUGAAGGAAGGGAUUAUUCACUUGGAUGAAAUAAGAAUAAGAUUUAUUGUAUGCUUAUCCUUCAUCAAAAUAAAUUGAUGACAAGCAAUGGAUUUUGUAUACUACUUAUUCUUCUUGAAAAGGAUUGAGAAGUGACAUAUCGCAAACUUGAGAAGGUCUUCAUGAACCACCGGUAGGAUUGAAAAGAACGAAUGGAUUAAAAUGAUAAACAAAGAAAAAGAAUCUUGAACGAACCACCGUAAGAAUUCGAAAAUGACUGACGAAAGAGGAUGAAUCACCGGGAAGAAUUGGAAGAACAAAUAUGCUUGAGGGAAUUUAGAUGCACAAGAACGAAGAGAUAACGAGCUGAUUAAAGAGCACUUGAAUGAAGCACCGGGAUAACAGAGAAUGAUAACUGGACUGAUGGCCUCCGGUGAAAAGAAACGGGAAACCAACUCCUGAAAUACUCCGGAUGGAUAAGAAAGAAUAUCUGGCACACUGAAAUAAAUCGAGAGGAUGAGUAUGAAAAACUCUUCUUCGAUCUUCAAAUGACGACGAGAAACACCGCAAAAAUUCCCGAGAUACUCCGGGAGAACAAAAAGCGAAGAGGUUGAGGCAACAAAGGAAAAUGAUUUGAAAACGAUCUUGGAAAAGCAUCUUACUGAUGGAAUCCAUUCUUAUGUCACACUUUGAAAAGAAUUGAGAAUAACUCCGGGGGAAUUAGAAGAGUCAGGUAAGAUCCUGGAAAAAGACCUGUGGGUUAUGGGCCCACUAAAAGAAAACACCGUUGGAAAGGAUGAUGAACAGAUAGAUGAUGCACCGGAACAAUUGAAAUAUUUGAAUGAGGUGACAGCCUCGAAUUUAUUGGAACAGAUACGAAUCUCCUGAGAUGUCUUGAACACUCCGGAAGGAUAAACUGGCGAGAGGCGAACGAGCAAGGAGAACACUUCGAGUAAAAGAAUAUGAUCAACCCGAAAAACUUGAAUUGAAUCCACCGGAAAGGAAAAGAGAUGAAGAAUGACGAACGAAACGAGAAUUCACCGGUUGAAACAAUUGACGAAAACUGAAGAGGCUCCACACGAAUGAAAAUUGAUGCUCGAAAGAGCUCCGGAGGGUGGGAGGGCGGGAAAACAAAGACAACUUGGAAGGGGAAUCGACGAAUAUCUUGAAGAGAAAACACUGGUUGAAAUCAUUGAGGAAAGAAAGCAAAGGCUUCGCAGGAGUAGGAUGGAUACUCGAUUACGGACUCCGGUUCUGAGAAGAAGAACAGGGAGGGCGGGUGGGAAAAGAAAACAACUGAGGAUUGAACUCAAAGAUGAAGAGGCUCGAGUCAACUUGACGAGAAAUGCACCGGAUGAAAAGAGCUGAGAACCAACGACCAGAAAACCAACUGCGUGAUCCUAAAGAAAAAUUUGAAGGGGAAGAGGAGUAAUCCGAAACACCUACGUCAAGAUUCCUUUCUAGAGCGACGAAGGGACCGAGGAGUAAAAAGAAUUCCUACUCUCCGAUAUAACUAGACUCCGAAAACAGUUUAUUCUAGACUCAACAUCGGCCAAACUACACGAUCAAUCAAGGGGGCUCCUAGGGUCGGUCGAGGCUCUGAUACCAACUUGUCAUGCCCAAUAUGCGACCCUAUCCAAAAGGAACUCGAAGGUCCCACCAAGGAUAGACCCGCGUAUUGAAACGCUUUUGCAAGGUGGAUAUCAUUACAUCAACAUUACAUAAUAGAUGGGGAUACAUACAAGAGGCAAACCAUGCCACACGAAUACAACACCACAAUACAUCAGAGCAUCAUCCGACUACGGAUGAAUCACAAACAGAAACUCAAACGACAUCCAUCCUGCUAGCCCAGGCUGCCGACCUGGAACCUAUCCCCUGAUCGAAGAAGAAGCAGAAGAAGAACUCAUUGCAAGCAAGCAUCGCUCUCGCGUCAUGACCAUCGCAAAACCUGCACCUGCAACUGUUGUUGUAGUAAUCUGUGAGCCACGAGGACUCAGCAAUCCCAUUACCAUGGGUAUCAAGACUAGCAAAGCUUAAUAGGAAAGGAAGGGGUAAAGUGGUGAGGCUGCAGCAGCGACUAAGCAUGAUAUGGUGGCUAACAUACACAAAUAAGAGCGAGAAGAGAACAAAAGGAACGGUCGUGAAACUAGCAAUGAUCAAGAAGUGAUCCUGAACUCCUACUUACGUCAAACAUAACCCAGAAACCGUGUUCACUUCCCGGACUCCGCCGAGAAGAGACCAUCACGGCUACACACACGGUUGAUGCGUUUUAAUUCGGAUCUGGUGUCAAGUUAUCUACAACCGGACAUUAACAAAUUCCCAUAUGCCUAUAACCGCAGGCACGGCUUUCGAAAGAUUAUACCCUGCAGGGGUGUCCCAACUUAGCCCAUGAUAAUCUCUCGCGAUCAACGAAGGAAUAGACCUUCUCCCAGGAAGACCCGAUCAGACUCGAAAUCCCGGUUUACAAGACAUUUCGACAAUGGUAAAACAAGACCAGCAAGACCGCCCGAUGCGCUGACAAUCCCGAUAGGAGCUGCACAUAUCUCGUUCUCAGGGCAACACCGGAUGAGCAAUCCGUACAACUAAAACCAAACCUCAAGUUUCCCUGAGGGGGCGCUGCAAAGGGCUCAGGUUCGGACCAACACUUAGACAAGCACUGGCCCGGGGGGCUAAAAUAAAGAUGACCCUCGGGUUGGCCGACCCAAGGGAAAGGGGUAGAUGGUGGUGAGGCAAAUGGUAAAACCAAGGUUGGGCCUUGCUGGAGGAGUUUUAUUCAAAGCGAACUGUCAAGGGGGUCCCAUAAAUCACCCGACCGCGUAAGGAACGCAAAAUCCGGGAACAUAACACCGGUAUGACGGAAACUAGGGCGGCAAGAGUGGAACAAAACACUAGGCAAAAGGCCAAGCCUUCCACCCUUUACCAAAUAUAUAGAUGCAUUAAUAAAAUAAGAGAUAUUGUGAUAUCCCAACCAAAAUCCUGUCCGCCAUGGAGCAAUCUUCAAACUUCACCUGCAACUAGCAACGCUAUAAGAGGGGAUGAGCAAAGCGGUAACAUAGCCAAACAACGGUUUGCAUAGGAAAGGUGUCAAAGGUUAGAGGUUCAUGGCUAUUUGGGAUGGCUUGAUAAACAGGUGAUAGGUAGCGCAGCAAAGCAAUAGAACGAAGCAACUAGCAUAGCAAUGAUAGUAGUGAGAUCCAGGGUAGCGGUCAUCUUGCCUGAAAUCCCCCAAGGAAGAAGAACGAGUCCAUGAAGAAGACGAACGGACGAAGCCGAACCAAGCGUAGACGAACGAAUCCUCACGAUCGCAACGAAACAGGAACUAUCGAAAAGAAGCACACAACAUAGUAAACACACCACACAUGAACAAGGCAUGAUGCACAAACAAGCAUGAUGCAUGACAAAGCUACAUGAAGCUACUCAUGGCAAGAGAUGAUGCAAACAAGAACAACACAUCAAGGCAAGUUUAAAUGAGGCCGGGAACAACAUAUAACAAUUCCGGUAAGUCCUCAUAUGCAUAUUUCGAAAUUGGUCCAGAUCUUAACAAACCUUAUGUUCAAGUAGUUAAACAUCAAGUUAAGAUGCACAAAGAUGAUCUACACGAGAUUCUAGUCAAGUUACAUAUAAAGUUCAUUAGAUUCGGAGCUACGGCCUAGAAGAUAUGGGCAAAACAAGUUAAACAUGGCAUUGAUGCAAAAUGCAACCAAACAUCAAGCAAACACCUCAAAAAAAGGAUGCAACAUGAUAAUAUGAAACUACAUGCAAUUCUAAGCAAGUUUCAUAUAGAGCACACUCAUAACGGGGCAACGGUUCAACACAUGCACACUAUACAAGUCAUAGCAAUAAUCUGUCCAAAACAGCAACUAGGCAUAUUGCAAGCAUCAAAACAAUAUGCUACAUCACCCCAACAUAAUAACAAAAGGCAUGGACAUGAUGUACAGGUAAAGCAUUACAAAACAUGAACAUUGAACUAUCUCCAGAAAUCACUAGAACAUGUCCAAACACACAUGGUAAGAUUGCAAGUUAUUACAAUUCAGACUUUGCAGAAAAUAACAUCACGAUGCAAUGUUCAGAGCUAUCAAACAACAUGUUACAGGAACUUAUAAUGGCAAACAAAGGCUUGGCAUGAUUUUACUCAAAGCAUAGAUCAAUAGUCCCUUACUGACCAUAAGUCAAAAAGGAUCAGAAAAUAUGAUGGCACCCACGUAAACAUAGCAAGUUAUUAUACAGAUUCAAACAUGGCAGAAACAUAAUUAUGAAGGCAUGUAAAUGAGCUUGUGCAACUCACUACAGAACAAUACAUGGCAUGGCAAGGCAACCAGCAGUAAGAAGACAUAUUUGUGAAGCUAAGAAUGGCAAUAGCAAGGUCAUAGGAUGCAUGGAACACUAGCAAAACACAUGGGAACAAGUGAACUUAAUGUAAACAGGCUGACAACAACAUUAUGAAGCAACUUUGGAGCAAGAUUACAACAAGCUACAGCAGCCUAUAAAUGCAACCAGGGCCUUGGAUGGAUAGGGGAUGACAUGUAUAUCAAAACAUGUUUAUAGGACAUAUCCAGAUUAUGCAUAGAAUGAUUAGUAGCAACAUGUUUAUAUAGCAUCGUGAAAUAAUAGAUUCAGCCUAGCAAAACAGCAACAUCAUGAACACUACUUAACAAGCUCGAUUCACUCACCACAAGUCAUUGCAUGACAAGAUAAGCAUAGCAUCAUCAAGAAGGCAUGUCAUAGAAGCUAUACAUGGCAAGAAACAACAUCAUAGCAUAUCCAGACCAACUACAACAACCUCGGCCAAAUUGAAUAACAUGUAAACAAUCUGCCAAGAAACAUUUUGAAGCAAAAGUAGAGCACUCAAAUGACAUGCUAGACUACUCCAUAAUUGCAACAAAGGGCAUGAAUGGAUAGAUCAUAACCACAUGUUCAAACCACCCUUACUGAAGUAUCUCAAAAUAUGCAUGGAUCUCUUUGUAGCAUCAAGUUUACAUGGCAUCAAAAUAACAGCAGAACAGGGACUAAAAUCAGCAACAUCACGAUGCCUAGUUUGCAUGCUUGUGCUAGUCACCACAUUGAUCACAAAAAUACAUGACAUACACCACUGUAAAGAAGACAUGGCAUAGAUCAAAACACAUGAAGACAUCAACCUCAUAGGAUGCACACAUCAAUCAUGGCAAAAAUGACAAAAGAGCUCGUUCUGAUAACAGACAGCAGAAAACAUUAUGAAGCAGUCUUACAACAAUGAUUCAGGCAUCAAUAUGACCUCAAAUGAAUAUGAUGCAAUGGAAUGGAAUGAUCUACUCGUCAAGACAAACUAUUCGACAUAUUACACGCACGAAACGGAGCUACGGAUGCAGAGAUACGGCAUGACGAACAUGGCAUGAAAAUUACUCAAACUAGGGACUUAGUGAAAAAAAAAUAGACCUCGGGGGGGGGGGGUUUGCUAGACGGACAUGUCCGGGCUCCUCCGGACAUGUCCGGCGUGGACGGAGGAGCAGACGACGGGGAGGCCGAGGAGGCCGACCAUGGCGGCGCGGCACUCCGGUGAGGUUGGAGGAGGCCAGGGAGGCGACGACGAGGUGGCCCCGGACCGAAUCUGGCCGGAUCCGGCCGACAGCGAGUGGCGGAACCUGGCUGGAGGCGGAGCGCGCGCCGGCGGAGGAAGCCGGGCCUUCGGGCGCAGAGGCGGGAGGUCAGAGGAGGCCGGGCGAAGCAGGUCGCCGACGGCGGAGCUUCGGCNNNNNNNNNNNNNNNNNNNNNNNNNNNNNNNNNNNNNNNNNNNNNNNNNNNNNNNNNNNNNNNNNNNNNNNNNNNNNNNNNNNNNNNNNNNNNNNNNNNNNNNNNNNNNNNNNNNNNNNNNNNNNNNNNNNNNNNNNNNNNNNNNNNNNNNNNNNNNNNNNNNNNNNNNNNNNNNNNNNNNNNNNNNNNNNNNNNNNNNNNNNNNNNNNNNNNNNNNNNNNNNNNNNNNNNNNNNNNNNNNNNNNNNNNNNNNNNNNNNNNNNNNNNNNNNNNNNNNNNNNNNNNNNNNNNNNNNNNNNNNNNNNNNNNNNNNNNNNNNNNNNNNNNNNNNNNNNNNNNNNNNNNNNNNNNNNNNNNNNNNNNNNNNNNNNNNNNNNNNNNNNNNNNNNNNNNNNNNNNNNNNNNNNNNNNNNNNNNNNNNNNNNNNNNNNNNNNNNNNNNNNNNNNNNNNNNNNNNNNNNNNNNNNNNGGGAGGGCCCCGGAUGGGCCCCGGCGGGCCGGCGCGGUGGGAGGCGCGGCGGGGACGCGUGGGAGGCGCUGGUUGGGCGGGGGCGGCGGCGCGAUGAUGUGGCGUCCCCGGAUUGGUCCGGGCGACGUGGAGGCUGGGGUGGACGUGUCCGGCCGCCGGGCGGACAUGUCCGGCGGCGCGAGGAGGGAGAGGUCUAGGGUUUCGGGGGAUCAACCGUGAAUUUCGGGGAGAGGCAUAUAUUUAUAGGUAGAAGGAGCUAGGAGAGUCCAAAUGAGGAGCGGUUUUCGGCCACGCGAGCGUGAUCGAACGACUGAGAGCAUGGAGGGGAGUUAGAUGGGUUUUGGGCCAGUUUGGAAGGGGUGUUGGGCUGCAAGGAGAGAGGGGCUUUACGGUUACCCGGUUAACCGUUGGAGUACCAAACGACCUCCAAAUGGCACGAAGCUUGACAGGCGGUCUACCGGUGCUAUACCGAGGCCACUUGGCAAGCCUCGGGCCAAUCCGAGAAAGUUUAGCACCCACUCACAACGAGAGACGAAAGGGGAACGCCGGAGGACAUAGGAGCGCCGUAUUGCAAAAUGGACAAUGGGGAAAAGGCUCGGAUGCAUGAGACGAACACGUAUGCAAAAUGAAAUGCACAUGAUGACAUGAUAAAAUGCAACACGCAAGCAAAUGACAUGACAAUGACAUGGCAACGACGGUGAAUAACUGGCAGACACCUGGCGCAUCGGAACCGGGGCGUUACACCUUUCUUCCUUCUUCUCAUCGCAUGCACACUUUCAUGUGCAAUUAGCACAUUGUCAGUUAUCAGGCGACCAGGGACAAACGCACUUUGUUCAACACUGAUAAUAUCAUCCAAGAACUCUCGGAGACGGUUAGCAAUGGCCUUGGAGGCGAUCUUAUAUAAAACCGGACAGAGAGAAAUAGGAUGAUAUUGAGUGAUACUUUGUGGGAAUCGUACCUUGGGGAUCAAUGUGAUAGAAGUGUCGUUUAUCCCUGGUGGUAGUUCUCCCCCAUUAAGAAAGUCAAGCACCGCUGGAAUAAUGUCGUCUUUGAGCCAACUCCAGUGACGCUGAAAAAACCCAGCCGUGAAACCAUCCACCCCCGGGUCCUUCGAGGGAGCCAUCUGGAAAAGGGCUCGGCGCACCUCCUCCUCUGUAAACGGCUUGCUAAGUGCAUCGUUCAUAACAGGAGUCACCCGUGGCUGUACAACAUCCAGCAAUUCAUCCAUCUGAUGAAAACCUUGCGAGGUAUAUAACUUCUCAUAGAACUGCUGCACCUCCGCACGAUCUUCCUCCAAACUAGUACACACCGAUCCUUCACUACGGACAAGAUUUUCUACCUUAUUCAUGCGCUUGCGCUGGGCGGCUCGGGCCCGAAAAUAACCCGUGUUUCGGUCCCCUUCUCGCAGCCAUGGAACACAUGAUCGCUGACGGAGCCAAAUUUCUUCUUGAUGCAGAGCCAGCUUAAGUUUCUGAGCCACCGCUUUCUCUUCUUCAGUAGGUCCCCGUCGCAAAGGAUUGGCACGCAGUCGGGAGAGCUGCUCUCGCAACUUCCUAAUCUUGCGUGACAAACAUCCAAACUCCUUCGCUCCCCACACCGCUAGGUUGCCCUGAAGAGCUGUGAGAGCUUGAGUCACUUCUCGUAGUCCUUCCCGGCCUGCCCCCUUCUGCCAUGAGUCAAAUACCAGCUUGUCAUAGUCCACGUGCGUCUGCCACAUGUCCUCAUAUCUAAAAGGUUUUGGCCCUCUGGGCACUACCGUUUCCAAGUGCUCGCGGAGAUCCGCUAACACAAAACAAUGAUCUGACUCCGUUGUUACUAUAUGUCUGACCUUAAUGUGUGAAAACAUCUAUAAGAGAGCGGAGUUACCAAAUGCCCGAUCCAGCCGGGCUCUCACAUUCGAUCUGCCGAACUGCAUGUUAUCCCAUGUGUAUUCAGUUCCCGACCAACCCAAAUCAAUAAGAGAACAAUCGUCCGUCACUUCCCUAAAUGCCCUCAUUUUCCACUCCGGUCUGGGAGUUCUGGAAAAGUGCUCUGAACCAUUCAAGGUCUCGUUGAAAUCUCCAAUGCACAUCCAUGCAUCAUGUUGAAUUGCAUAUAGUGUCCUCAUAAACCUCCAGCUAUGAUGACGAUGUUGGGGAACGUAGCAGAAAUUCAAAAUUUUCCUAUGAGUCACCAAGAUCUAUCUAUGGAGAGACUAGCAACAAGAGAAAGGAGAGUGCAUCUACAUACCCUUGUAGAUCGCUAAGAGGAAGCGUUCAAGAGAACGGGGUUGAAGGAGUCGUACUCGUCGUGAUCCAAAUCACCGGAGAUCCUAGUGCCGAACGGACGGCACCUUUGCGUUCAACACACGUACAACCCGGUGAAGUCUCCCAUGCCUUGAUACAGCAAGGAGAGAGGAAGAGGUUGGGGAAGACUCCGUCCAGCAGCAGCACAACAGCAUGGUGGUGAUGGAGGAGCAUGGUAUUCCAGCAGGGCUUCGCCAAGCACCGCGAGAUAUGAGGAGAAAGAGAGGUAGGGCAGCGCCAGGGAGAGGUGGAAACUCUUGUCUCUGGCAGCCCCAAAACCUCAAGUAUAUAUAGGGGAGAGGGAGGGGGCUGCGCCCCCUCUAGGGUUCCCACCCCUAGGGGUGCGGCAACCCAAAACCCAUCUAGGGUGGCGGCCAAGGGGGGGGGGGGAGGCGGAAACUUGCCCCCCCCCCCAAGCAAAGUGGGGCGCCCCCUCCCCAAACCCUAGGCGCCUUGGGCCCUUGUGGGGGGAGGGGGGCGCACCAGCCCACCUCGGGCUGGUCCCCUCCCACACUUGGCCCAUGCUGCCCUCUGGGGCUGGUGGCCCCACUUGGUGGACCCCCGGGACCCUCCCGGUGGUCCCGGUACGUUACCGAUAUCACCUCAAACUUUUCCGGUGACCAAGACAAGACUUCCCAUAUAUAAAUCUUUACCUCCGGACCAUUCCGGAACUCCUCGUGACGUCCGGGAUCUCAUCCGGGACUCCUAACAAUAUUCGGUAACCACGUAUAUCUAUUCCCUAUAACCCUAGCAUCAUCGAACCUUAAGUGUGUAGACCCUACGGGUUCGGGAACCAUGCAGACAUGACCGAGACAACUCUCCGAUCAAUAACCAACAGCGGGAUCUGGAUACCCAUGUUGGAUCCCACAUGUUCCAUGAUGAUCUCAUCGGAUGAACCGCGAUGUCAAGGACUCAAUCAAUCCCGUAUACAAUUCUCUUUGUCUAAUGGUAUUGUACUUGCCCGAGAUUCGAUCGUCGGUAUCCCGAUACCUUGUUCAAUCUUGUUACCAGCAAGUCUCUUUACUCGUUUCGUAACACAUCAUCCCGUGAUCAACCCCUUGGUCACAUUGUGCACACUAUGAUGAUGUCCUACCGAGUGGGCCCAGAGAUACCUCUCCGUCACACGGAGUGACAAAUCCCAGUCUCGAUUCGUGCCAACCCAACAGACACUUUCGGAGAUACCCGUAGUGCACCUUUAUAGCCACCCAUUUACGUUGUGACGUUUGGUACACCCAAAGCAUUCCUAUGGUAUCCGGGAGUUGCACAAUCUCAUGGUCUAAGGAAAUGAUACUUGACAUUAGAAAAGCUUUAGCAUACGAACUACACGAUCUUUGUGCUAGGCUUAGGAUUGGGUCUUGUCCAUCACAUCAUUCUCCUAAUGAUGUGAUCCCAUUAUCAACGACAUCCAAUGUCCAUGGUCAGGAAACCGUAACCAUCUAUUGAUCAACGAGCUAGUCAACUAGAGGCUUACUAGGGACAUGGUGUUGUCUAUGUACCCACACAUGUAUUUGAGUUUCCUAUCAAUACAAUUAUAGCAUGGAUAAUAAACGAUUAUCAUGAACAAGGAAAUAUAAUAAUAAUAACUAAUUUAUUAUUGCCUCUUGGGCAUAUUUCCAACAGUCUCCCACUUGCACUAGAGUCAAUAAUCUAGUUCACAUCGCCAUGUGAUUAAACUUGAUAGGUCACAUCGCCAUGUGACCAACAUCCAAAGAGUUUACUAGUGUCACUAAACUAGUUCACACCAUCAUGUGAUUAAGACUCAAUGAGUUUUGGGGUUUGAUCAUGUUUUGCUUGUAAGAGAGGUUUUAGUCAACGGAUCUGCAACAAUCAGAUCCGUAUGUACUUCGCAAAUCUCUAGGUCAUAUUGUAAAUGCCGCUUCCACGCUCCACUUGGAGCUAUUCCAAAUGGUUGCUCCACUAUACGUAUCUGGUUUGCUACUCAGAGUCAGUCGGAUAGGUGUUAAAGCUUGCAUCGACGUAACCCUUUACGCCGAACUCUUUAUCACCUCCAUAAUCGAGAAACAUGUCCUUAUUUACUCCAAGGACAAUUUUGACCGCUGUCCAAUGAUCCAUUCCUGGAUCAUUCUUGUACCCCUUGACUGACUCAUGGCAAGGCACACUUCCGGUGCGGUACACAGCAUAGCAUACUAUAGAGCCUACGUCUGAAGCAUAGGGGACGACCUUCGUCCUUUCUCUCUAUUCUGCCGUGGUCGAGCUUUAAGUCUUAACUUCAUACCUUACAAUUCUAGCAAGAACUCCUUCUUUGACUGAUCCAUCUUGAACACCUUCAAGAUCAUGUCAAGGUAUGUGCUCAUUUGAAAGUACCAUUUAGCGUUUUUUGAUCUAUCCUCAUAAAUCUUGAUGCUCAAUGUUCAAGCAGCUUAAUCCAGGUUUUCUAUUGAAAAACACCUUUCAAACAACCCUAUAUGCUUUCCAAAAAUUCUACAUCAUUUCUGAUCAACAAUAUGUCAACAACAUAUACUUAUCAGAAAUUCUAUAGUGCUCCCACUCACUUCUUUGGAAAUACAAAUUUCUCAUAAACUUUGUAUAAACCCAAAAUCUUUGAUCAUCUCAUCAAAGCGUACAUUCCAACUCCGAGAUGCUUACUCCAGUCCUUAGAAGGAUCGCCGAAGCUAGCAUACCUCUUAGCAUCCUUAGGAUCGACAAACUUUCUGAUGUCGCAUACAACCUUUCCUUACGAAAACUGGUAAGGGAACUCGUUUUGACAUCCAUUUGGCAGAUUUCAUAAAUGCAGCUAAUGCUAGCAUGAUUCCGACGGACUUAAGCAUCGCUACAGAUGAGAAAAUCUCAUUGUAGUCAACUUCCUUGAACUUGUGAAAAACUCUUCGCCACAAGUCGAGCUUCACAGACGGUGACAUUACCGUCCACGUCCGUCUUCUUCUUAAAGAUCAAUUUAUCUCAAUGGCUUGCCGAUCAUCGGGCAAGUCCACCAAAGUCCAUGCUUUGUUCUGAUACAUGGAUCCUAUCUCGGAUUUCAUGGCUUCUAACCAUUUGUCGAAAUAUGGGCCCACCAUUGCUUCUCCAUAGCUCGUAGGUUCAUUGUUGUAUAGCAACAUGACCUUCAAGACAGGAUUACUAUACCACUCUGAAGUAGUACGCAUCCUUGUCACUCUACGAGGUACGACAGUGACUUGAUCUGAAACUUCAUGAUCACUAUCAUAAGCUUCUACAUCAAUUGGUGUAGGCACCACAGGAACAACUUCUUGUGCCCUGCUACACACUAGUUGAAGUGACGGUUCAAUAACCUCAUCAAGUCUCCACCAUCCUCCCACUCAAUUCUUUCGAGACAAACUUUUCCUCGAGAAAGGAUCCGAUUCAAGAAACAAUCCCUAUUGCUUUCGGAUCUGAAUUAGGAGGUAUACCCAACUAUUUUUGGGUGUCCUAUGAAGAUGCAUUUUAUCCGCUUUGGGUUCGAGCUUAUCAACCUGAAACUUUUUCACAUAAGCGUCGCAGCCCCAAACCUUUAAGAAAUGACAACUUAGGUUUCUCCAAACCAUAGUUCAAACGGUGUCGUCUCAACGGAAUUACAUGGUGCCCUAUUAAAGUGAGUGCGGUUGUCUCUAAUGCCUAACCCAUGAACGAUAGUGGUAAUUUGAUAAGAGACAUCAUGGUACGCACCAUAUCCAAUAGGGUGCAACUAUGAUGUUCGGACACACCAUCACACUAUGGUGUUCCAAGCGGUAUUAAUUGUGAAACAAUUUCCACAGUGUCUUAAUUGCGUGACAAAGCUCGUAACUCAGAUACUCAUCUCUAUGAUCAUAUCAUAGACAUUUUAUCCUCUUGUCACGAUGAUCUUCAACUUCACUCUGAAAUUACUUGAACCAUUCAAUAAUUCAGACUUGUGUUUCAUCAAGUAAAUAUACUCAGUAUCUACUCAAAUCAUCCGUGAAGUAAGAACAUAACGAUAUCCACCGCGUGCCUCAGCACUCAUUGGACUGCACACAUCAAAAUGUAUUACUUCCAACAAGUUGCUUUCUUGUUCCAUUUUACUGAAAACGAGGCUUUUAGUCAUCUUGCCCAUGUGGUAUGAUUUGCAUGUCUCAAGUGAUUCAAAAUCAAGUGAGUCCAAACGGUCCAUUUGCAUGGAGUUUCUUCAUGCAUAUACACCAAUAGACAUGGUUCGCAUGUCUCAAACUUUUCAAAACGAGUGAGUCCAAAGAUCCAUCAACAUGGAGCUUCUUCAUGCGUUUUAUACCAAUAUGACUCAGUGCCACAAGUAUGUGGUACUAUCAUUACUAUCUUAUAUCUUUUGGCUUGAAUAUGUGUAUCACUAUGAUCGAGAUUCAAUAAACCAUUCAUUUUAGGUGCAACACCAGUGAAGGUAUUAUUCAAAUAAACAGAGUAACCAUUAUUCUCCUUAAAUGAACAACCGUAUUGCGAUAGACAUAAUCCAAUCAUGUCUAUGCUCAACGCAAAUGCCAAAUAACAAUUAUUUAGGUUUAACACCAAUCUCGAUGGUAGAGGGAGCGUGCGAUGCUUGAUCACAUCAACCUUGGAAACACUUCCAACACAUAUCGUCAGCUCACCUUUAGCUAGUCUCCGUUUAUUCCGUAGCUUUUAUUUCGAGUUACCAACACUUAGCAACCGAACCGGUAUCUAAUACCCUGGUGCUACUAGGAGUACUAGUAAAGUACACAUUAACAUAAUGUAUAUCCAAUAUACUUCCGUCGACCUUGCCUGCCUUCUUAUCUACUAAGUAUCUAGGGUGGUUCUGCUUUAGUGUCCGUUCCUCUCAUUACAGAAGCACUUAGUCUCGGGUUUGUGUUCAACCUUGGGUUUUCACUAGAGCAGCAACUGUUUUGCCGUUUCAUAAAGUAUCCCUUCUUGCCCUUGCCCUUCUUGAAACUAGUGGUUUUACCAACCAUCAACAAUUGAUGCUCCUUCUUGAUUUCUACUUUCACGGUGUCAAACAUCGCGAAUAUCUCAAGGAUCAUCAUAUCUAUCCCUGAUAUGUUAUAGUUCAUCACGAAGCUCUAGCAACUUGGUGGCAAUGACUUUGGAGAAACAUCACUAUCUCAUCUGGAAGAUCAACUCCCACUCGAUUCAAGUGAUUGUUGUACUCAGACAAUAUGAGCACAAGCUCAACGAUUGAGCUUUUCUCCCUUAGUUAGGCUAAGAAAAUUGUCGAAGGUCUUAUACCUCUUGACGUGGGCACGAGCCUAAAAUCCCAAUUUUAGCCCUCGAAACAUCUCACAUGUUCCGCGACGUUUCGAAAUCAUCUUUGGUGCCUCAUCUCUAUACCGUUUAACUGAACUAUCAUGUAGUUAUCAAAACGUGUAUGUCAAAUGUCCGCAACAUCCACAGACGACGUUUGAGGUUCAGCACACCGAGCGGUGCAUUAAGGACAUAAGCCUUCUAUGAAGCAAUGAGGACAAUCCUCAGUUUACGGACCCAGUCCGCAUAAUUGCUACUAUCAACUUUAUUUUCUCUAGGAACAUAUCUAAAACAGUAGAACUAAAGCGCGAGCUACGACAUAAUUUGCAAGAAUCUUUUUGACUAUGUUCAGGAUAAUUAAGUUCAUCUUACGAACUCCCACUCAGAUAGACAUCCCUCUAGUCAUCUAAGUGAUUACAUGAUCCGAGUCAACUAGGCCGUGUCCGAUCAUCAUGUGAGACGGACUAGUCAUCAUUGGUGAACAUAUUCAUAUUGAUCGUAUCCACUAUACGACUCAUGCUCGACCUUUCGGUCUCUUGUGUUCUGAGGCCAUGUCUGUACAUGCUAGGCUCGGCAAGUCAACCUAAGUGUUUCGCGUGUGUAAAUCUGGCUUACACCCGUUGUAUGUGAACAUUAGAAUCUAUCACACCCGAUCAUCACGUGGUGCUUCGAAACAACGAACUUUCACAACGGUGCACAGUUAGGGGGAACACUUUCUUGAAAUUUUAAUGAGGGAUCAUCUUAUUUACUACCGUCGUUCUAAGCAAAUAAGAUGCAUAAACAUGAUAAACAUCACAUGCAAUCAAAAAGUGACAUGAUAUGGCCAAUAUCAUUUUGCUCCUUUUGAUCUCCAUCUUCGGGGCUCCAUGAUCAUCAUUGUCACCAGCAUGACACCAUGAUCUCCAUCAUCAUGAUCUCCAUCAUCGUGUCUCCAUGAAGUUGUCUCGCCAACUAUUACUUCUACUACUAUGGCUAACGGUUUAGCAAUGAAGUAAAGUAAUUACAUGGCGUUGUUCAGUGACAUGCAGGUCAUACAAUAAAUAAAGACAACUCCUAUGGCUCCUGCCGGUUGUCAUACUCAUCGACAUGCAAGUCGUGAUUCCUAUUACAAGAACAUGAUCAAUCUCAUACAUCACAUAUCAUUCAUCACAUUCUUUUUGGCCAUAUCACAUCAAAUAGCAUACCCUGCAAAAACAAGUUAGACAUCCUCUAAUUGUUGUUUGCAUGUUUUACGUGGCUGCUAUGGGUUUCUAGCAAGAACUUUUCUUACCUAUGCAAAAACCACAACGUGAUAUGUCAAUUUCUAUUUACCCUUCAUAAGGACCCUUUUCAUCAAAUCCGAUCCGACUAAAGUGGGAGAUACUGGCACCCGCUAGCCACCUUAUGCAACAAGUGCAUGUCAGUCGGUGGAACCUGUCUCACGUAAGAGUAAGUGUAAGGUCGGUCCGGGCCGCUUCAUCCCACAAUACCGUCGAAACAAGAUUGGACUAGUAACGGUAAGCAUAUUGAACAAAAUCAACGCCCACAACUACUUUGUGUUCUACUCGUGCAUAGAAUCUACGCAAUAGACCUAGCUCAUGAUGCCACUGUUGGGGAACGUAGCAGAAAUUCAAAAUUUUCCUACGAGUCACCAAGAUCUAUCUAUGGAGAGACUAGCAACGAGAGAGAGGAGAGUGCAUCUACAUACCCUUGUAGAUCGCUAAGCGGAAGCGUUCAAGAGAACGGGGUUGAAGGAGUCGUACUCGUCAUGAUCCAAAUCACUGGAGAUCCUAGUGCCGAACGGACGACACCUCCGCGUUCAACACACGUACAGCCCGGUGACGUCUCCCAUGCCUUGAUCCAGCAAGGAGAGAGGGAGAGGUUGGGGAAGACUCCGUCCAGUAGCAGCACAACGUCAUGGUGGUGAUGGAGGAGCGUGGUAUUCCAGCAGGGCUUCGCCAAGCACCGCGAGAUAUGAGGAGAAAGAGAGGUAGGGCAGCGCCAGGGAGAGGUGGAAACUCUUGUCUCUGGCAGCCCCAAAACCUCAAGUAUAUAUAGGGGAGAGGGNNNNNNNNNNNNNNNNNNNNNNNNNNNNNNNNNNNNNNNNNNNNNNNNNNNNNNNNNNNNNNNNNNNNNNNNNNNNNNNNNNNNNNNNNNNNNNNNNNNNNNNNNNNNNNNNNNNNNNNNNNNNNNNNNNNNNNNNNNNNNNNNNNNNNNNNNNNNNNNNNNNNNNNNNNNNNNNNNNNNNNNNNNNNNNNNNNNNNNNNNNNNNNNNNNNNNNNNNNNNNNNNNNNNNNNNNNNNNNNNNNNNNNNNNNNNNNNNNNNNNNNNNNNNNNNNNNNNNNNNNNNNNNNNNNNNNNNNNNNNNNNNNNNNNNNNNNNNNNNNNNNNNNNNNNNNNNNNNNNNNNNNNNGGGGGGUGCACCAGCCCACCCGGCCACCCGGUGCUGGUCCCCUCCCACACUUGGCCCAUGCUGCCGUCUGGGGCCGGUGGCCCCACUUAGUGGACCCCCGGGACCCUCCCGGUGGUCUCGGUACGUUAUCGAUAUCACCCGAAACUUUUCCGGUGACCAAAAUGUUGGGGAACGUUGUAGAAAAUAAAAGUUUUUCCUACGGUUUCACCAAGAUCCAUCUAUGAGUUCAUCUAAGCAACGAGUGAAAGGGGAGAUGCAUCUACAUACCACUUUGUAGAUCGCGAGCGGAAGCGUUCAAAAGAACGGGGUUGAGGUAGUCGUUCUCGUCGUGAUCCUAUCACCGGAGAUCCUAGCGCCGAACGGACGGCACCUCCGCGUUCAACACACGUACGGUCAGCGUGACGUCUCCUCCAUCUUGAUCCAGCAAGGGGGAAGGAGAGGUUGAUGAUGAUCCAGCAGCACGACGGCGUGGUGGUGGAUGUAGCAGAACUCCGGCAGGGCUUUGUGAUGGGGUUAUGUACCUAGGGUAGGGUCAUGGACCUGAUCCAAGUACCUUGCCCAAGGACACCCUUAGAAGAAGUCAUCUUCCAGUCGACCAACGAGGGACACACUCGACUGACUUGAAGGACUCGACCACGAAGACUCACUCGACCACCAGGAGGUCAAGAGGCACUCUGCACUGCAACGGCCUGUAAUUAAGUAGGCUUUAUGAUAGUAAAGGCACUUUAUGUGGGGCGUUACCAGUAACGCCCCAGACUUAACUCACCUUAAACCCUCUCCUGCGUGGGCUGGCUGGGGUCCUGGCGCACUCUAUAUAAGCCACCCCCCUCCACAGGCAGAAGGGGUCGGCACCUUGUAGCUCAUAUACUCAUAAUCCACUCGACCGCCUCCGGGCUCCGAGACGUAGGGCUAUUACUUCCUCCGAGAAGGGCCUGAACUCGUACAUCCUUUGUGUUUACAACCUCUCCAUAGCUAGGACCUUGCCUCUCCAUACCUACCCCCCACUCUACUGUCAGGCUUAGAACCACGACAGUUGGCGCCCACCGUGGGGCAGGUGUUUUAGCGAUUUUGUGGAGAAGUUGCGAUUCUUCCGAGUACUUUCAUCAUGGUGUCUGCUGGAGUUUUGGUCGAGGGUCAAGAGAUCCGUCUCGGCACUCUCACCUUCAUCGCCGACGACUUAGCAUGGCUCCAGGAGGCUCCACUCGACGUAGAUGCGCUCCCCGUCCGCGGUGCGACGCAUUUUCGCGCAUGUGUCCGCGGCGUUCUGCUGCGGCAACCGUCGACCCAGUAUUGGUCGGCUCCUCCAUCGUCCACCCUCCCGGUCUCCCGCCAGCGCAAGCGCUCGGGCCGGUCGAGGCUUCAGCGAUGGGUGAGGCACGCGGUGGCUCGCCAAUCAGCCACCACCCAAGUCGCGGCAAUCGAGCCCGACGAAUAUCUCUACGGCUUGUUCGACCUGUCGACUGGCUCCGUAGAGACUGCAUCCGAGUGCGGUAGCAGUGAUCCAGCGGCAGAAAUCUUGAUGGUCGACGGGCCCCACAGUCCCCCUGGCUUCGCCCGUGGUGGUGGAGCAGGUGACGGCGGCGACCCUACGCGAGGCUACGAAGAGUACCAACCCGAGCCACUCGACUCUCUGCAAAGAGAGGAACUUCGCCGCAGGAACGAGGAUCCCCUGCGUAUUCCCAUCGCAGGAGAAACCCCCGAGGCUCGUGCCUUGGAGGAGGCGCGUCUGGCCAAUUUGGCCGAGCGCACUCGACUGGAGAACCUUCAGCGAGCUCUCGACGAGCGCGCGCGGCAACGAAUUCCCGACAACAGUCGACGUCAACUCUUCCCGCAGACUCAGGUAUAUCGAACCCGUAUAGCAGCUGCGACCCGUAUAGCAGAGUCCAUCCAGCCUUCGCAGUCGGAAGCUGGCAGAGGUUUGCUGCAGAUCAGGGAUCUGCUCCGGGCAGCAGGAGAUCAGAAUUCAGCCGUGUCUCAGUCGCACAACAGAAUUCACAGUCGAUCCGUCACUGUGAAUACGGUUCAGUCGGCUCAUAGCCCCAGAUCGCCUCCGCGGCGUGAAGGGCGCGAGAAUCGACGAGAUCAAUAUGGCGACAGACUCGACCGAGAUGAUAGGCGUCGAGUGCCCUAUUCCCCUCCGAGGGGUGGGUCUUACGCUCCUCGGCAGCCAGAUGAUAGGCGUCAGUACAGUACAUGGCGUAGGGUUCCAGUCGACCCCAGAGAACCAGGCUUCGACGCGCGAUCCAUUAUCGUGCAAGGGUUGGUUGACCGGAACAGAGCCCAUCGAGGUGGACUCGACAGAGAUGCACCCACAAGCAGUCGAGUGCAUGUUUCCGGUCCUGAAUGUUUCAGCAGAGCUAUCAGAGCCGCAGUUAUCCCUCCCAAUUUCAGGUUGGCAACAGGAGUCAGCAAGUUCACUGGUGAGUCUAAGCCUGAAACUUGGCUUGAAGACUACCGAGUGGCAGUUCAGAUUGGUGGUGGGAACGACGAGGUGGCCAUGAAGCAUUUGCCCCUCAUGUUGGAAGGUUCUGCCAGGGCAUGGUUGACUCAGUUACCUCCUAGCAGCAUUUACACUUGGGAAGAUCUGUCCCGAGUGUUCGUCAGAACGUUUGAAGGAACUUGCAAGCGACCAGCUGGAUUAACAUAGUUGCAAGUCUGCGUGCAGAAGGCCAAUGAGACUCUCAGAGAGUAUAUUCAGAGGUGGAUCACUUUGCAUCACACUGUGGAGAAUAGUGCCACACCACUCGCCAAUGUCGACUCCUGAUUCAGCAGUUUCAGGGAAAACAGUCUAAGGACAAGGAGAAGGAGUCGGACAAGGCCGAAGACAAGGAGGACAGUGAGGGAGGAUAUCCGCAAAUCAACUCCACUCUGAUGAUCUUUGCAGAUGUGGAAAGCAGAAGUCGACUGAAAGUGAUUAACCGAGAGGUGAACAUGGUUGCCCCCGCAAAAGCAAAUUAUCUGAAGUGGUCCCAAACACCCAUCACAUUCGACCAAUCUGAUCACCCGACUCAUAUUGCCACCCCUGGGAGGCAAGCUUUGGUGGUCGAUCCAGUUGUCGAAGGCACUCGACUGACAAAGGUGCUGAUGGAUGGUGGAAGUGGGCUGAACUUAUUGUAUGCAGACACAUUGAAAGGUAUGGGCAUUCCGAUGUCCCGACUGAGCACUAGUAACAUGAGCUUUCAUGGAGUUAUACCAGGGAAGAAGGCCGAGUCACUCGGCCAGAUAGCUUUGGACGUGGUGUUUGGUGAUUCGAAGCAUUUUCGCAAAGAAAAGUUGACGUUUGAGGUCGUGGAUUUUCAGAGUGCAUAUCAUGCCAUUUUGGGGAGACCAGCUUACGCACGGUUCAUGGCUCGACCAUGUUACGUGUACCUCAAAUUGAAGAUGCCCGGCCCCAAAGGAGUGAUCACUGUCACCGGUGAUCGGAAAAAGGCAGAAGAGUGCUUUCAGAAGGGCUCCAAGAUCGCCGAUUCCCAGGUGACAGCGGU